GCUCCAAAUCCGGAAUUGUGGUUACCAUUUUUGACUCUAAUUUUUGAAUCAUCACUUUACUUCCUGCUUGUUUUGAAAACAACUUGAGAUACACUUUACAUGUUAUUUCCUUACUGUCUCGUAACGUGGUAAGCUUUUUAUAUCUAUAAUAUUGUCAUAUAUAUUUUAUUCUACCCCCGUAAAUGAUUUUUAUUUGAUAUUCCUAUUGUAAAGUUAAAUUUUGAGAUGUAAGUUGUUUAUGAAACUCCCGGCAAAUUGUAAAUCUAUGGAACGCCAUUCGUGACAUUUAUGUAUUCGUCACUACUUAUAGUAUGUAUGGCACGCCAUUUGGGACACCUUUGAUUAAUAUUUCAUUUUUGUCAUUUUUAUUGUAUUUUUGAGUAGAGAAACAUUUUAUGAAUGCUUUUAUGAUGUUUUGAUCAGAUUGUAAAGGUUGUUUAUUUUUUCUUUUCAGUUUUUACCUUAUACUAGAAUGAUGCACUACGCACCCAUUUGAUGUCUUGUCGGUGCCUUAUAUGAAUAAAGUUGUGCAAAUAAAAUUCUUGUUGGUUAUCUGGUUGUUUAUCCUAGAAACAGCACAGUAAAAACACGAGAUAAUGGAUUCACAACAUGGACAUGGUGAUAACCCAGAUUCAAGAACACGUGUUCUUACAGAUAGUGGACUGGAGCUUUAUAAUGCUAACAUUAGAACUCACUUAAAGAAGAUAGAACUUGUUCAAACAGAAAUAGAACUUUGCCUUGAAAGAUUUUCGACAACAAAUUCAGAAGACUAUGAGACAGUGUUAAAAAUUCAAAAAACUUUAAAUUUGUGUCAUUGUAAAUACAGUCUCUAUUCAGAGGAGUACUUGAAAUAUUUAAGGAACACACGUACAGAGGACAGUCUCAGGAUAGCUGAAGAACACAAAAAAGAAGAUUUAAAGUACAAAGACAUUAUUGAACGUGCACUUCAGCAAACGAAGGUUUCAGACAGACACGAAACUUCUUCUCAGUUCACGCAUAGAUCUGGAGCACAUUCCAGAGCUUCUUCCAACUCGAGCUCUGUUGCCCUUAGAAAACGUGCAAAAGCAGAAGCAGCUCAAGUCAAAUUGGAAUUUGCCUUGAAAGAAGCUGAAAUGCAAAAACAGAAGGCAUAUAUAGAACAACAAGAAAAAAUAUUGAAGGCUAAAUCAAAUACUAAAAAGGCAGAAUUAGCAGCUGAAAUAGAACUGCUCAACUAUAAGAAGGAAGCGGCGGCCGCUACUGCAGAGGCUGAUGCACUUGAAGAAUAUGACCAAAAUGUGAAUGGUAGUAAAAAGUCUGAACUUCUUCUAUCAAAAACUGUUUUUGAAAGAACUAAUCAAUAUGUAGAACAGCAGGUACUUCAAGUAAAAGAUGUAAAAUUAACCCCAGAUGUUAAUAUUGUACCACGUGAUCCGUUCACAAAUCCGAUAUCAGGUGAUGCAGUCAAUCGACAUUCACAUAUGCCAACACCAAAACCGUCACAGCCAAAAUAUGAUGUGCCGAGUGUAAGCAUGUUAAGUGCAGGUUGUAAUGAUAACGAUAUAAAUACACAAGUUCAAGAACAUGCAUUGAAUCCAAAUGCACCUAAAUUUCAACCUGACAUGAGCACACAUCAGAACGCACCUCAAUCUCAUCCUGAUAUAAGCAUGUAUCAGAACGCACCUCAGUUUCAUCCUGAUAUAAGCACACAUCAGAAUAUUGCUACAGAUUUCACACGAUUUCUUCUAAAGAAAGAUUUGCUGUUAUCAAGAUUAACUACGUACAGUGAUAAACCUGAAAUGUAUGCGGUAUGGAAGGCUAGUUUCAAAAACAUAUUAAGUGAACUUUCCGUUACAGCGAUGGAAGAGUUGGAUCUUAUGGUGAAAUGGUUAGGUCCUGAAUCUACACGGCAUGCAAACAGUAUUAGAGCAUCAAAUAUUCAUGAUCCAACGAAAGGAUUACAACGUUUAUGGGAACGCUUAGAUGAACGUUACGGUUCUCCAGAGUCAGUUGAAGCCUCAUUAAUUGCCAAAUUAAACAAUUUUCCGAAAUUAACACAGAAAGACAACAAAGAACUGUACGAGUUAGUAGACAUUCUUUCUGAAAUUGAAUCCAUUAAGGAAGAUUCCAAGUAUUAUUCACUUUUAGUGUAUUUUGACUCCUCGUCAGGAGUUCUCCCUAUAUUGAAUAAACUUCCAUACAACAUUCAAGAAAAAUGGACAAAUAAAGCAUCUCAAUACAAAAGAGAAAAACAAGUAACCUUUCCACCAUUUACAUUUUUUGUGAAGUUUAUUCGUGAAUUAAGCCAAAUAAGAAACGACCCUAGUUUUGCGUAUGACCAGACAAAUCAAUCUAAAAACUUAAACACAACUGCCAAAUCACCAGCAUACAUGUAUAAGACAGCUAUUUCAGUUCACAAAACCGAGGUUUCUAGUAGUGACCUUGACUUACAAAAACAAUGUCUUUUGCAUAAUACAGGACACUCAUUAAACGAGUGUAGAGGAUUCAAAGCAAAACCUUUCCAAAUACGUAUGAAGUUUAUCAAUGAUAAUAGAAUUUGUUACGGUUGUUGUGAAUCGACAAAACAUGUAAAACGAACAUGUACUAACGCAAUUAGUUGUAAUGAAUGUGGCAGUGACCGCCACCCUGGAGCAUUACAUAUUAAUCACUCUAACACGUCUAACGACUCUAUAGAUCAGAAUAAUAAUGAAUCAAGUUUGCCUGUUCACGGCGGGGAGGAAGAAGUAGAAACUAAGUGCACAGAAAUUUGUGGGACAUCAUUUCAUAGUAGAUCAUGCGCAAAAAUAUUGCCAGUGAGAGUUUUUAGACAUGGACAAUAUGAGAACUUGAAACUGUACGUUAUAUUAGACGACCAGAGUAAUCACUCAUUGGCAUCACCAUUAUUUUUUGACACUUUUGGAGUGCAUGGUACAUCAGAAGAAUAUGUAUUAUCUUCCUGCUCAGGUCGAGUGAAAAUGUCAGGACGUAGGGCAAGUGGAUUUGUAGUUGAAUCAUUAGAUGGACAAGUUCAGUUGGAAUUGCCCACAGUAAUAGAAUGUGGUAAUCUUCCGCAUAAUAGAGAGGAAAUACCCACACCAGAUAUUGCUAUCAAACAUGACUAUUUGAAAAAGAUGGCAGAUCACUUGUCUCCACUGGACCCAGAUUGUGAAAUUAUGCUUCUCAUUGGAAGGGACAUGACAGAAGCACAUCAUGUUUUAGAACAAAUUAUUGGACCUCGUAAUGCUCCGUUCGCACAAAAACUGCCUCUAGGCUGGGUAGUUAUAGGAAACAUGUGCUUAGACAGAAUAAAUACUCCUGAUGAUGUUAAUGCAUAUCUGACACAUAUUGCACCAGAUUGUCAAGCUUCGAUCCUUCAACCAUGUGCUUACAAUCAUGACGAUCAUGAGUCUUUUGGCUGCUGUAUUGAUAACUUUGGAGUCUCUCAAACGAAAGACAAUACACAUAAAAGUGCAAUUUUCGAACGCACUGUACAAGACAACAAAUCUAUAUUAUCUAUAGAAGGUAGACAAUUUUCGACAUUAAAGAAAACUGAUCUUCAGAAGGACAAAGAGGGUAACUGGUGUUCACCUUUAUCUUCCCGCACUCCAAGAAGACGUAUCCCAAACAACAGAGCAAUGGUUUUGCAUCGUGCUGAGUCAUUUGAGAAAAGUUUUCAGAAAGAUCCAUUAAAACAAGAACACAUAGUUACAUUCAUGCAGAAAGAGUUUCACUAUCGACAAGAAUGGGAAACACGCCAAAAUUCUUUGACACCACUUGAAAAUGUGAAGAUCCGUAGACUGUUUGUCGGUACGUCAAUUUCAAUUCGAGAUGCUUCAAAAGCUGAAUUACAUAAAUUUUUCGAUGUAUCUGAGCAAGCAAUUGCAGCAUUGGCCACUUUAAUCGGUUCUGAUGGUAUUUUCCGUAAAGUCUGUGUGCGUGUUAUCCGGGAAGGAAAACCAGUUGUUUAUACACGUCCAGUGACAGAACUUGUACUUUUAUUCUCAGAAUAGUGAUAUUAUUAUGAACAUUAAAUAUGAUUGAUAUUUGUGACAUUAGUAAAUAGUUUGACACCUUUUUGUCAAUAAAGUUUAGUAUUGAUAUUUGGUACUUGAAGUCAGAGACACUAGGUACAUUUUCAUAUUGUCUGAUAAUGUAAGAUUGAUAUUUUGUUUUUUCAAUUUUUAUGAGGUAGUGAUAUUGUAAUAUAUCAGGCGGGGAGUGUUCUGGCUCCAAAUCCGGAAUUGUGGUUACCAUUUUUGACUCUAAUUUUUGAAUCAUCACUUUACUUCCUGCUUGUUUUGAAAACAACUUGAGAUACACUUUACAUGUUAUUUCCUUACUGUCUCGUAACGUGUUUUUACCUUAUACUAGAAUGAUGCACUACGCACCCAUUUGAUGUCUUGUCGGUGCCUUAUAUGAAUAAAGUUGUGCAAAUAAAA